AGAACAUUGUUUUUGCUCUCCGAUCUGAGUGAUGCCCCAUGUCUGAUUCAUGGUGGGUCUAACUACUCGACCCCCCUCUCCACCUCAUCCAUUUCCCAUUCCCACUAACCGACAUCAUCUUCUCCAUCAUCCUCCCACCUCAGAUGCUUCUGUACCAAAGUAUGCUCCCCUCUUCAAUCUAUGUGCGAGCCUGAGGUCAGUUGUCGCCUUGCCCAAGUUGAACACAUCCUGAGUGCUUCCUCAUGUUCUAGAAAGCUAGAGCUGACUCCAGGUGGCGAGGCACUGCUCGUCCAAAUCCAUGUGACUGCUGAUGAAACUCGUCGGUCUGGAUAGCGGAGUG
rnacentral:lncRNA from 1 species